rnacentral:rRNA from 1 species
ACGCACGCUGGCGGCGUGCUUAACACCUGCAAGUCGAACGCUGAAGCUCAGCUUUUGUUGGGUGGAUGAGUGGCGAACGGGUGAGUAACACGUGAGUAACCUGCCUCCUUCUUUGGGAUAACGCCCGGAAACGGGUGCUAAUACUGGAUAUUCACUGGUCUUCGCAUGGGGGUUGGUGGAAAGGGUUUUUCUGGUGGGGGAUGGGCUCGCGGCCUAUCAGCUUGUUGGUGGGGUGAUGGCCUACCAAGGCUUUGACGGGUAGCCGGCCUGAGAGGGUGACCGGUCACAUUGGGACUGAGAUACGGCCCAGACUCCUACGGGAGGCAGCAGUGGGGAAUAUUGCACAAUGGGCGCAAGCCUGAUGCAGCGACGCCGCGUGAGGGAUGGAGGCCUUCGGGUUGUGAACCUCUUUCGCUCAUGGUCAAGCCGCAACAAUGGUUGUGGUGAGGGUAGUGGGUAAAGAAGCGCCGGCUAACUACGUG